rnacentral:rRNA from 1 species
UACGUAGGGCGCAAGCGUUGUCCGGAAUUACUGGGCGUAAAGGGUUCGUAGGUGGCCAACUAAGUCAGACGUGAAAUCCCUCAGCUUAACUGGGGAACUGCGUCUGAUACUGGUUGGCUUGAGUGCAGGAGAGGAACGCGGAAUUCCAGGUGUAGCGGUGAAAUGCGUAGAUAUCUGGAGGAACACCGGUGGCGAAGGCGGCGUUCUGGACUGCAACUGACACUGAGGAACGAAAGCCAGGGGAGCAAACGGG